rnacentral:rRNA from 1 species
ACCUGGGGAAACCCAGGCUAAUACCGCAUACGUCCUACGGGAGAAAGGGGGCUUCGGCUCCCGCUAUUGGAUGAGCCUAUGUCGGAUUAGCUAGUUGGUGAGGUAAAGGCUCACCAAGGCAACGAUCCGUAGCUGGUCUGAGAGGAUGAUCAGCCACAUCGGGACUGAGACACGGCCCGAACUCCUACGGGAGGCAGCAGUGGGGAAUAUUGGACAAUGGGGGCAACCCUGAUCCAGCCAUGCCGCGUGUGUGAAGAAGGCCCUCGGGUUGUAAAGCACUUUCAGCGAGGAAGAACGCCUAGCGGUUAAUACCCGUUAGGAAAGACAUCACUCGCAGAAGAAGCACCGGCUAACUCCGUGCCAGCAGCCGCGGUAAUACGGAGGGUGCAAGCGUUAAUCGGAAUUACUGGGCGUAAAGCGCGCGUAGGUGGCUUGAUAAGCCGGUUGUGAAAGCCCCGGGCUCAACCUGGGAACGGCAUCCGGAACUGUCAGGCUAGAGUGCAGGAGAGGAAGGUAGAAUUCCCGGUGUAGCGGUGAAAUGCGUAGAGAUCGGGAGGAAUACCAGUGGCGAAGGCGGCCUUCUGGACUGACACUGACACUGAGGUGCGAAAGCGUGGGUAGCAAACAGGAUUAGAUACCCUGGUAGUCCACGCCGUAAACGAUGUCGACCAGCCGUUGGGUGCCUAGAGCACUUUGUGGCGAAGUUAACGCGAUAAGUCGACCGCCUGGGGAGUACGGCCGCAAGGUUAAAACUCAAAUGAAUUGACGGGGGCCCGCACAAGCGGUGGAGCAUGUGGUUUAAUUCGAUGCAACGCGAAGAACCUUACCUACCCUUGACAUCUACAGAAGCCGGAAGAGAUUCUGGUGUGCCUUCGGGAACUGUAAGACAGGUGCUGCAUGGCUGUCGUCAGCUCGUGUUGUGAAAUGUUGGGUUAAGUCCCGUAACGAGCGCAACCCUUGUCCUUAUUUGCCAGCACGUAAUGGUGGGAACUCUAAGGAGACUGCCGGUGACAAACCGGAGGAAGGUGGGGACGACGUCAAGUCAUCGUGGCCCUUACGGGUAGGGCUACACACGUGCUACAAUGGCCGGUACAAAGGGCUGCGAGCUCGCGAGAGUCAGCGAAUCCCUUAAAGCCGGUCUCAGUCCGGAUCGGAGUCUGCAACUCGACUCCGUGAAGUCGGAAUCGCUAGUAAUCGUGAAUCAGAAUGUCACGGUGAAUACGUUCCCGGGCCUUGUACACACCGCC